UCCCUGGUGGUCCAGUGGUUAGGACUGAGCACUUACACUGCCGUAGCCCAGGUUCAAUUCCUGGUCGGGGAA